rnacentral:rRNA from 1 species
GACGAACGCUGGCGGCGUGCUUAACACAUGCAAGUCGAACAGAAAGGCCCUGCUUUUGUGGGGUGCUCGAGUGGCGAACGGGUGAGUAACACGUGAGUAACCUGCCCUUGACUUUGGGAUAACUUCAGGAAACUGGGGCUAAUACCGGAUAGGAGCUCCUGCUGCAUGGUGGGGGUUGGAAAGUUUCGGCGGUUAGGGAUGGACUCGCGGCUUAUCAGCUUGUUGGUGGGGUAGUGGCUUACCAAGGCUUUGACGGGUAGCCGGCCUGAGAGGGUGACCGGCCACAUUGGGACUGAGAUACGGCCCAGACUCCUACGGGAGGCAGCAGUGGGGAAUAUUGCACAAUGGGCGGAAGCCUGAUGCAGCAACGCCGCGUGCGGGAUGACGGCCUUCGGGUUGUAAACCGCUUUCGCCUGUGACGAAGCGUGAGUGACGGUAAUGGGUAAAGAAGCACCGGCUAACUACGUG